GCUUCCCAGCUGGGUGCGCGCCGAGCACAGGAGAUUGCCUGCGUUUAGGAGGUAGCUGCAUUGUGGGAAAAGCUAUCAAGGAAGAAAUUGCCAAAUCGUGUUUUUUUGUUUUCAGAGACUAAAAUGUUCAUUCAAAUGAAUGGCCAUUGGAUAACUCCAGACCUGAAAAUAAACACUGUUGUCAAAACAGCGUCCAGGCCGGGCGCGGUGGUUCACGCCUGUAAUUCCAGCACUUUGGGAGGCGGAGGCGGGCGGAUCACCUGAGUAGUUCACAACAGAUCUGAGUUUUAAUUAAAGCAUGGAAUACAGAAAACUACAAAAAACUUAAGCUUUAAUUUCAUCUGGAAUUCCACAGAGACAAGGCCACUUUAUGUUUCCCAGGCUGGACCAGAACCCCUGGGCUCAAAUGAUCCUCCUACGUCAGCCUGCAGAGUAGCCAGGACUUCAGUUUUCUUAGCUCCCUGGACCCGGUUGACCUGUUGGCUCUUCCCGCUGGCUGCUCUAUCACGUGGUGCUCUCGGACUACUCACCCCGAGUGUAAAGUCCUGCUGCUCUGUUGCCCAGGCU
rnacentral:sRNA from 1 species